UACGUAGGGGGCUAGCGUUGUCCGGAAUCAUUGGGCGUAAAGCGCGUGUAGGCGGUUCGGUAAGUCCGCUGUGAAAGUCGGGGGCUCAACCCUCGGAUGCCGGUGGAUACUGUCGGGCUUGAGUACGGAAGAGGCGAGUGGAAUUCCUGGUGUAGCGGUGAAAUGCGCUGAUAUCAGGAGGAACACCAAUUGCGAAGGCAGCUCGCUGGGACGUUACUGACGCUGAGACGCGAAAGCGUGGGGAGCAAACAGG
rnacentral:rRNA from 1 species